rnacentral:misc_RNA from 1 species
GAUGAAGAACGUAGCGAAAUGUGAUACUUGGUGUGAAUUGCAGAAUCCCGUGAACCAUCGAGUCUUUGAACGCAAGUUGCGCCCGAAGCCAUUUGGUUGAGGGCACGUCUGCCUGGGCGUCACAUAUCGUUGCCCGAUGCCUAUUGCACUGUGAUAGGAAAUUCUAGGGCGAAAGAUGGCUUCCCGUGAGCGUUGUUGCCUCGCGGUUGGUUGAAAAUUGAGUCAUUGGUAGGGUGUGCCAUGAUAGAUGGUGGUCGAGUUUGCACGAGACCGAUCAUGUGUGCGCUCCCCAAAAUAUGGACUCUUUGACCCCACACGCGUCUUUUGACGCUCAUGACGAGACCUCAGGUCAGGCGGGGCUACCCGCUGAGUUUAAGCAUAUCAAUAAGCGGAGGA